rnacentral:rRNA from 2 species
AAAUUGAAGAGUUUGAUCAUGGCUCAGAUUGAACGCUGGCGGCAGGCCUAACACAUGCAAGUCGAACGGUAACAGGAAUCAGCUUGCUGAUUCGCUGACGAGUGGCGGACGGGUGAGUAAUGUCUGGGAAACUGCCUGAUGGAGGGGGAUAACUACUGGAAACGGUAGCUAAUACCGCAUAACGUCGCAAGACCAAAGAGGGGGACCUUCGGGCCUCUUGCCAUCGGAUGUGCCCAGAUGGGAUUAGCUGGUAGGUGGGGUAACGGCUCACCUAGGCGACGAUCCCUAGCUGGUCUGAGAGGAUGACCAGCCACACUGGAACUGAGACACGGUCCAGACUCCUACGGGAGGCAGCAGUGGGGAAUAUUGCACAAUGGGCGCAAGCCUGAUGCAGCCAUGCCGCGUGUAUGAAGAAGGCCUUCGGGUUGUAAAGUACUUUCAGCGGGGAGGAAGGGAGUAAAGUUAAUACCUUUGCUCAUUGACGUUACCCGCAGAAGAAGCACCGGCUAACUCCGUGCCAGCAGCCGCGGUAAUACGGAGGGUGCAAGCGUUAAUCGGAAUUACUGGGCGUAAAGCGCACGCAGGCGGUUUGUUAAGUCAGAUGUGAAAUCCCCGGGCUCAACCUGGGAACUGCAUCUGAUACUGGCAAGCUUGAGUCUCGUAGAGGGGGGUAGAAUUCCAGGUGUAGCGGUGAAAUGCGUAGAGAUCUGGAGGAAUACCGGUGGCGAAGGCGGCCCCCUGGACGAAGACUGACGCUCAGGUGCGAAAGCGUGGGGAGCAAACAGGAUUAGAUACCCUGGUAGUCCACGCCGUAAACGAUGUCGACUUGGAGGUUGUGCCCUUGAGGCGUGGCUUCCGGAGCUAACGCGUUAAGUCGACCGCCUGGGGAGUACGGCCGCAAGGUUAAAACUCAAAUGAAUUGACGGGGGCCCGCACAAGCGGUGGAGCAUGUGGUUUAAUUCGAUGCAACGCGAAGAACCUUACCUGGUCUUGACAUCCACGGAAGUUUUCAGAGAUGAGAAUGUGCCUUCGGGAACCGUGAGACAGGUGCUGCAUGGCUGUCGUCAGCUCGUGUUGUGAAAUGUUGGGUUAAGUCCCGCAACGAGCGCAACCCUUAUCCUUUGUUGCCAGCGGUCCGGCCGGGAACUCAAAGGAGACUGCCAGUGAUAAACUGGAGGAAGGUGGGGAUGACGUCAAGUCAUCAUGGCCCUUACGACCAGGGCUACACACGUGCUACAAUGGCGCAUACAAAGAGAAGCGACCUCGCGAGAGCAAGCGGACCUCAUAAAGUGCGUCGUAGUCCGGAUUGGAGUCUGCAACUCGACUCCAUGAAGUCGGAAUCGCUAGUAAUCGUGGAUCAGAAUGCCACGGUGAAUACGUUCCCGGGCCUUGUACACACCGCCCGUCACACCAUGGGAGUGGGUUGCAAAAGAAGUAGGUAGCUUAACCUUCGGGAGGGCGCUUACCACUUUGUGAUUCAUGACUGGGGUGAAGUCGUAACAAGGUAACCGUAGGGGAACCUGCGGUUGGAUCACCUCCUUA